rnacentral:rRNA from 1 species
AGCGAACGCUGGCGGCAGGCCUAACACAUGCAAGUCGAACGAACCUUUCGGGGUUAGUGGCGGACGGGUGAGUAACACGUGGGAACGUGCCUUUAGGUUCGGAAUAACUCAGGGAAACUUGUGCUAAUACCGAAUGUGCCCUUCGGGGGAAAGAUUAAUCGCCUUUAGAGCGGCCCGCGUCUGAUUAGCUAGUUGGUUGAGGUAAUGGCUCACCAAGGCGACGAUCAGUAGCUGGUCUGAGAGGAUGAUCAGCCACAUUGGGACUGAGACACGGCCCAAACUCCUACGGGAGGCAGCAGUGGGGAAUCUUGCGCAAUGGGCGAAAGCCUAACGCAGCCAUGCCGCGUGAAUGAUGAAGGUCUUAGGAUUGUAAAAUUCUUUCACCGGGGACGAUAAUGACGGUACCCGGAGAAGAAGCCCCGGCUAACUUCGUG